AGAGUUUGAUCCUGGCUCAGGACGAACGCUGGCGGCGUGCCUAAUACAUGCAAGUCGAGCGGAUCGAUGGGAGCUUGCUCCCUGAGAUCAGCGGCGGACGGGUGAGUAACACGUGGGUAACCUGCCUGUAAGACUGGGAUAACUCCGGGAAACCGGGGCUAAUACCGGAUAACACCUACCCCCGCAUGGGGGAAGGUUGAAAGGUGGCUUCGGCUAUCACUUACAGAUGGACCCGCGGCGCAUUAGCUAGUUGGUGAGGUAAUGGCUCACCAAGGCGACGAUGCGUAGCCGACCUGAGAGGGUGAUCGGCCACACUGGGACUGAGACACGGCUCAGACUCCUACGGGAGGCAGCAGUAGGGAAUCUUCCGCAAUGGACGAAAGUCUGACGGAGCAACGCCGCGUGAGUGAAGAAGGUUUUCGGAUCGUAAAACUCUGUUGUUAGGGAAGAACAAGUGCCGUUCGAAUAGGGCGGCGCCUUGACGGUACCUAACCAGAAAGCCACGGCU
rnacentral:rRNA from 2 species